rnacentral:rRNA from 1 species
UAUAGUGAUAGUAGUUCCACUGGAUGUGGAUCGCGCCCAUGCUUGCUCAGCUCCAGGAUCAGGCUCCUAAACCUAUUUUCAAUAAGUCAUCUGGUCUAUGUUGUUGGAGUUCCGCAUGACGCCUUAAUCCCACCUCUGUGUCUAAGGAAUAGCCUUUUCUUCUUUUCUUUAUUGUUCGUGGGAACAUGUAAGAUUAGCAAUGGAAAUUGA